rnacentral:tmRNA from 1 species
GGGCCCGUAAAGGCUUCGACGGGGAUUCUGAGGCAUGAUAAGCGAGUAGUGAGGGCGAAAUCACUUAAAUCGUCGCAACCUAAAUUUAAACGCAGACGAAGAUCUCGUUUUAGCAGCUGCCUAAGCGCACUGCCGUCGCCCCCGAGAGUACCGCGGCUCGGGCUGCGGCGUCGACUAGCGGUAAACGUCACCUGCGAAUAGCCUUAUAGCUUGUGAUGUAUUAAAGGCUACUGAACGUUUCAGCCUGUUUGUCGGCGGAAGCGGGAGGGAAUGUCAAAAGACAAACUGCACUCGGAGAAAGUUGUGAGGACGGGUUUUCGGACAGGGGUUCAAUUCCCCUCGGGUCCACCA